GAUGAACGCUGGCGGCGUGCCUAAUACAUGCAAGUCGAGCGAACAGACGAGGAGCUUGCUCCUCUGACGUUAGCGGCGGACGGGUGAGUAACACGUGGAUAACCUACCUAUAAGACUGGGAUAACUUCGGGAAACCGGAGCUAAUACCGGAUAAUAUAUUGAACCGCAUGGUUCAAUAGUGAAAGACGGUUUUGCUGUCACUUAUAGAUGGAUCCGCGCCGCAUUAGCUAGUUGGUAAGGUAACGGCUUACCAAGGCGACGAUGCGUAGCCGACCUGAGAGGGUGAUCGGCCACACUGGAACUGAGACACGGUCCAGACUCCUACGGGAGGCAGCAGUAGGGAAUCUUCCGCAAUGGGCGAAAGCCUGACGGAGCAACGCCGCGUGAGUGAUGAAGGUCUUCGGAUCGUAAAACUCUGUUAUUAGGGAAGACCAAUUGUGUAAGUAACUAUGCACGUCUUGACGGUACCUAAUCAGAAAGCCACGGCUAACUACGUG
rnacentral:rRNA from 1 species